rnacentral:rRNA from 1 species
GCAAGUCGAGCGAGACCUUCGGGUCUAGCGGCGGACGGGUGAGUAACGCGUGGGAAUAUGCCCUUCUCUGCGGAAUAGCCUUUGGAAACGAAGAGUAAUACCGCAUACGCCCUACGGGGGAAAGAUUUAUCGGAGAAGGAUUAGCCCGCGUUGGAUUAGGUAGUUGGUGGGGUAAAGGCCCACCAAGGCGACGAUCCAUAGCUGGUCUGAGAGGAUGAUC